GGCCCUGGUGCUGAUCUUGUAGAGAUUGCAACAGCAGGUCCAUCUAUGGGUAGUGAUGGUCCAGAUGAUACAUCUGUAGGUGAAAGUCUGGAAGAGAACACAAAUGUAACAAGU